CUGAGAGUGUGUUAGUGUUGUGAAGUAAAGUAUAGGAGACCAGAAGAUAAAGAAGAAGAACAAGACACAAACGAAAUAUAUUGUAUUAAUACAUUAGCUGUGCGUGCAUAAGCCUGGUUUGGCGAAUUUUAAUCAUUUAUAUAUAUUGUAUAUAUAUAUAUAUGUAUGUGUGUUCAUAUUAUAUUGGUGGUAACAGUUAAUUAGCAGAGUGCUGAGCUUGUGCUUUUCAAAGGCGUUUAAGAAAUUGAAAAAGAAAAACAAUUCAUCAACAAAUUAAUUGCGCACAACAAUAUGCAAUGAAGCCACUAUGGUGAAUUAAGCCGGUUCGGCUUCGAUUGAGCUCGAAUUGAGUGAAGUGAAAUUUGUUUCGUACUCGUGUGCAACUCUUGCUGUCACCUUAAUUGUGCGCUGAACGCUGCACACUGCAUUUUACCAAAGUACUUCUUUUAGUGCUUAGAUCGUUCUACACUGCCGUGCUGCCACUGCCAACGUCAACAAUAUCGCCAUCACCAUUGCCAUUGCCAUCUCCGUAGUCAUCAUCAUCAUCAACGUCGACAUAAUGCUUGUCCAACAGCGCUGUUACGUUUAACAUAGCCACUGUUAGCGUAGUCGUUGGUAAAUUGCUAGCGUUGACGCUGGUAAUUCGUGCAUUCGGUCGGUUGCUCACUGCUGCUGCCGCUGUUGCUGACACUGUUACUUCUACUGUUGCAGCUUCGUGCAUUGUGGGACGCCGUUGCAGAACCAGCAGAGCCUGGCGCUACUCAAACACUAUUUUGGAGAAUUAUUUCGCUGUCUGUCUGCGCGCUGCUGUUGUGGCUGCUAGUUUUGGCUAUUUGGGCCUGUUUUUGGACUCAGCAUCGAAUUCAGUUCAGUUGAGUUGUGUCGAGUCGCGGUUGAUGCAUACGAACGGAAGUGCAGCGGAAAUCGGAACACGGAAGUUCAAAUAAUAGUCACUUUUAUAUUGAUCAACAACAAAAAAACAAAACAAGUAUCGAAAUACUAGUACCGAUAAAAUGAAUUUUGUGUUCUCCUGCAAUAAAAUAUUUGUUAAUUUGAUGGAAGUAUUUCGGUAAAUAAACAAAGUAAAGCACUACGUAGUGUUUCGAUGGAACGACGUGCAAUAAGUCGAAAGUUUUGAGUGUUUAUUUUAAUGAUGCUUGACCAGAAAGUUGCUGCAAGUCAAGGUGCUCAAUGAUUGUGUGUUUAAUUAUGUUUGUCAUGGUGCUAACGGAUUGCAUUAGCAUACAAAUUAAAACUGACAAAUGAGCUUAAGUGUAUGUGAAAACAUAUUUGGACUUGGUGAAAUUCCAAAAUGUUUGAAAAUAGCAAAAAAUAGAGAUUACGGAAACGAAGAAUCUGUCUAGAGAACCACAGAUUGAAAAAAAGCUAGCAGACGCGAAUGUGCAAAGCAGCAUGAAGUGAAUUGGAAUUGAAUUGAAAAGUUUUAAUGUGUGCUGGUUUUGUUUGUUUUUUUCCAACAUUUGGAUUUUCUACUCAGAAAAAGUUGAGAACACUGCGAACAACAACAACAACAACAACAUCACAAAAAAUAAGCGAGCAAUAACAGCAGGUCGUGUUGAAUCAGAAGCAGAAGGGAAUUGUAAAGGGUAAUGCAACUGCAACUGCAACAACAACAACCACUACUUAUACUAAAGAAAUCCGCCACAUAAGCAGCUAGACAAUUAAGAGAAAAAAGCAAAAAUAAGCAAACAAUAAGACAAAAACAAAUCAUCUAAAUUAAAAAUAUCAACUAUAUGGGAUUGAAACAACAACAAUAACUUUUUGAAAGAAAAAUACGAAGCUCAAUAGACUGAAAUAGAGUCCAAAUAUUUUACCGUAAUGCAAUGCAAUUAAUUAAACAUAUCAUUAAAAGUAUUUAAAACGGAAUUCAAAAACUAAAAAUAGAACAAAACGAAAAUACCACAACAACAACAACAAGUUAAUAAAUACAGCAUACUCCCUAUUAGCAGAAUAAUAAGCUAAAAUCUAUUAAACAACAACAAAACAAUUCACAUGCCAUCAUAAAACGCAAGCAAACAAAAAUUUAUGAAAAAGAAAAAUAUACGGAGUGCAAAUUUCUAGUUUAGUUAAUAAAUGAUAAAAUUGUAGCUUAUAAAUUUAUAAAAAAAUCUGAAAUUUUCGUGAACAUUCACAAAUAAAAAUCGAUUGCAUUUAAAUAAAUACCAACAAAACUAACUGAAAAACAGUAAUAAGAUUCGGGCAAAAUAUUGCGUUAAAAAAUUUGAAUAGAAUUAAAGCAUUCUGUAAAAAAUUUAACUAACAACAAAACGAAAAAGGAUCAAAUUUCAUUACUAAUAAAAGCAAACCACAACAAGAAAAAGAAAUAAAAUGCGCCGUGUAGUUUAGCGUAAAUUUAUAAAUAUAAAAAAUUCAUUGCAUACAUUUGAGCGUAAACUCAGUGGACUACACAUUUUAAAAAUAUUCCUUUGUUGUUUUCAAAAAGAAGCAAAGACAAUGAAAAACUUACUUCAUUAGGGCAAACAUGGCUUACAAACAUACCAAGCGAAAGCUGAUAGCGCUGUUGCAACAACAGCAAAAACUGCAACAAGUGCAACAAGCGCAGCAGUGGCAUCAUAGCUGAAUUCAUAAAUUAUUUUCGAAGAGCAAAAUUUUUAGCAGUAAAUAAAAUAGAAGUUUUGAAAGACAAAAAAGUGUUAAAAGACAAUUAAAAGUAAAAAUUACAAAAAAAAAACAAAAA